GCGGGAGUAACUCAGUGGUAGAGUGCCUCGUUGCCAACGAGGAUGUCGCGGGUUCGAAUCCCGUUUCCCGCUCCA
rnacentral:tRNA from 1 species